AUUUCUUCUUGGCCUUUUGGCUAAGAUCAAGAGUAAUAUCUCUUCUCAUCAGUUUAACAUUGGUUAUUCCUAUAGACAUAGGUUUGGAAAUUUGGGGCCAUUAUUUAUUCAAUUCUUUUCUGUCUACCACUCCUU
rnacentral:snRNA from 1 species